rnacentral:sRNA from 1 species
AACCAUGGGUAGAUAUUCCACAUGACAUAUGAUCUCGCCAGUGCAGUGGUGAGAAUUUUUAAUCUCAUCGGCAUGAUGCUGCUCCUGUGCCACUGGGAUGGUUGUCUUCAGUUCUUAGUACCACUACUGCAGGACUUCCCACCAGAUUGCUGGGUGUCUUUAAAUGAAAUGGUUAAUGAUUCUUGGGGAAAGCAGUAUUCAUACGCACUCUUCAAAGCUAUGAGUCACAUGCUGUGCAUUGGGUAUGGAGCCCAAGCCCCAGUCAGCAUGUCUGACCUCUGGAUUACCAUGCUGAGCAUGAUCGUCGGGGCCACCUGCUAUGCCAUGUUUGUUGGCCAUGCCACCGCUUUAAUCCAGUCUCUGGAUUCUUCGAGGCGGCAGUAUCAAGAGAAGUAUAAGCAAGUGGAACAAUACAUGUCAUUCCAUAAGUUACCAGCUGAUAUGCGUCAGAAGAUACAUGAUUACUAUGAACACAGAUACCAAGGCAAAAUCUUUGAUGAGGAAAAUAUUCUCAAUGAACUCAAUGAUCCUCUGAGAGAGGAGAUAGUCAACUUCAACUGUCGGAAACUGGUGGCUACAAUGCCUUUAUUUGCUAAUGCGGAUCCUAAUUUUGUGACUGCCAUGCUGAGCAAGUUGAGAUUUGAGGUGUUUCAACCUGGAGAUUAUAUCAUACGAGAAGGAGCCGUGGGUAAAAAAAUGUAUUUCAUUCAACACGGUGUUGCUGGUGUCAUUACAAAAUCCAGUAAAGAAAUGAAGCUGACAGAUGGCUCUUACUUUGGAGAGAUUUGCCUGCUGACCAAAGGACGUCGUACUGCCAGUGUUCGAGCUGAUACAUAUUGUCGUCUUUACUCACUUUCCGUGGACAAUUUCAACGAGGUCCUGGAGGAAUAUCCAAUGAUGAGGAGAGCCUUUGAGACAGUUGCCAUUGACCGACUAGAUCGAAUAGGAAAGAAAAAUUCAAUUCUUCUGCAAAAGUUCCAGAAGGAUCUGAACACUGGUGUUUUCAACAAUCAGGAGAACGAAAUCCUCAAGCAGAUUGUGAAACAUGACAGGGAGAUGGUGCAGGCAAUCGCUCCCAUCAAUUAUCCUCAAAUGACAACCCUGAAUUCCACAUCGUCUACUACGACCCCGACCUCCCGCAUGAGGACACAAUCUCCACCGGUGUACACAGCGACCAGCCUGUCUCACAGCAACCUGCACUCUCCCAGUCCCAGCACACAGACCCCCCAGCCAUCAGCCAUCCUGUCACCCUGCUCCUACACCACCGCGGUCUGCAGCCCUCCUGUACAGAGCCCUCUGGCCGCUCGAACUUUCCACUAUGCCUCCCCAACCGCCUCCCAGCUGUCACUCAUGCAACAGCAGCCGCAGCAGCAGGUACAGCAGUCCCAGCCGCCGCAGACUCAGCCACAGCAGCCGUCCCCGCAGCCACAGACACCUGGCAGCUCCACGCCGAAAAAUGAAGUGCACAAGAGCACGCAGGCGCUUCACAACACCAACCUGACCCGGGAAGUCAGGCCCCUCUCCGCCUCGCAGCCCUCGCUGCCCCAUGAGGUGUCCACUCUGAUUUCCAGACCUCAUCCCACUGUGGGCGAGUCCCUGGCCUCCAUCCCUCAACCCGUGACGGCGGUCCCCGGAACGGGCCUUCAGGCAGGGGGCAGGAGCACUGUCCCGCAGCGCGUCACCCUCUUCCGACAGAUGUCGUCGGGAGCCAUCCCCCCCAACCGAGGAGUCCCUCCAGCACCCCCUCCACCAGCAGCUGCUCUUCCGAGAGAAUCUUCCUCAGUCUUAAACACAGACCCAGACGCAGAAAAGCCACGAUUUGCUUCAAAUUUAUGAUCCCUGCUGAUUGUCAAAGCAGAAAGAAAUACUCUCAUAAACUGAGACUAUACUCAGAUCUUAUUUUAUUCUAUCUCCUGAUAGAUCCCUCUAGCCUACUAUGAAGAGAUAUUUUAGACAGCUGUGGCCUACACGUGAAAUGUAAAAAUAUAUAUACAUAUACUAUAAAAUAUAUAUCUAAAUUCCCAAGAAAGGGUCAAAAGACCUGUUUAGCAUUCAGUGUUACAUGUCUUCCUUUCUUUAAAUCAUUAAAGGAUUUAAAAUGUCGUUGUAAGAUUAUUUAUUUCUAACCUACUUUUACUUAAGUCCUUUGAUAUGUAUAUUUCUCUAUUUUAUGAAGAGUUCUUGGAUUCAAUGGAAACAAAACUGAUUUUAAAAAGGCAACUCAAAUGAACUAGUAAAUAGCACCAAUCAAAACUUUCUUUCAUUAGCUGUGUCUCUGCAUCUAAAUUGUUAAUCAUUAAUGGUGGAGAAUUAAAUAACAAAUCCCAUUUUAUAGAUCUAAAUUGUAUUUUGGUGCUUUCAAUUUUGAAUUAGGUUAAAGAAUGCACUACUUGCUUGGCCACCGUAGGAGACUAGCAUUGCCACUGUUAAGAAUAUCACUAACCUCAAACAUGUUCAUUGAUCUUUCAGAAAGCUGAGGGAAAAUUAAUAUUUGUCUUCAUGUGUUAUUGGACUUUUACCAAGACUCGAUCAAUGUUAGUUGUAAAUAACUUUUUCAACCCAAAUAAAAAUAGCUAUUCUGUGUUGUAUGAAGGUAAAAGUCAUGGUUUAAGAAUUUAGUUUUAUUGCUUCACUUCAAAACUUAGAGUUUUAAAUUUUACAAAACCUGAUUGUGAGAAUUAUUCAAUUGUAAUGCAAUGGCUUGAAACCUACAAUAUUAUUUUAACCUGCAAUGUUUUAUGCAAAAUUGUAUGCUCGAAUCUACAAAUUGCUUGUAUUACACCAAAAAUCAUUACUUUUCUUUCUUCUUGCCAUAAUCAAGCAUCUGAAAAUAGUCCCUGCAUGCUUCUGGGGAAAAAAAAAAUAGGUUCAAAUCAGUCAUUGUAGAGAAAGGCUUACAGUAUUUCUCGUUUCUAGAAAAGCAUAACAAUUCAUUAAUUGCCUAUCUUAUAAUUCCUAUAAGGCUGACUUGGAUCUCUGACUUAAGUCUAGAAGUGAGGUUUUCACUUUUAUUUAAUAUUAUUGCUAUUAUUAUUUAAAUAGUUAUUUGUAAACCACAGCUUGAUUUGGAGUUAAGUGUUGUCUGUGUCUUCACUGUAGCUGGUAAUUUACUAUGGUAUUAAUUUAAAGAAAUAAAUUCAAUACAGCAUCACGUCUGUUUGGGAACACACAUUUUGCUCUAUGUAUAUUGUAACUAAAUGGUUAGUAAACUUUAAGGCAUGUGGUGACUAACGUAGCCCUUAGAUAGGAGGUUUGUCAUUUUUAAUGUGUUGAAAAUAGUACAGACAUGGUGACAGAAAGCAGGGGUAAAGUUGAAUGUCUAUGAGCGUUGUUUGUCUGUUUUCUUAACUCUUUACAUGAUCUGUGAGCACCUGCUUCUUCUCAAAGAACUCCCUUAGUAAUCAUUUGUGCCUAAUGCAUCCCACACAUGUGGAGUAUGACUGGAACACAAUUGAAAGAUUCCUAACAACUGGCUUCGGUAAAUAACCCAAGUUAAGAGCAUGACUUAAAGUGGAGGUCUUCAGUAUCUCUGGCACUGGCAAUACAUUUAAGAACAUACAGAGAUCACACAUUAUGUGGGAUGGGGCCUGCAGAUAGACUUGAGGACAGAAAACAAAAACAAAAGCAGAAACUCUAAAGUGGAUCCUUGCUGCCUGUUAUGCCUUUUGUGGAUAUAAUACCUAUAAUACCAAAAUGAGUUGUUAUGUUUAAUUUCAAACAAAUCCCAACUGGUGUGGAAGUAAUUAACUGCUAGUCGAUGUAAUGUAAUCAUCAAUAUGCUGGUGACAUAUGAUGGCAUGUCAGGAAUACUGUUGUAAGAAAGGGAUUGUUCAGUCUACCUAGAACCUAUGGGAAAGCUGCAAGACCAUUUACAUAUCAGUACAAAACUCCUUUAUUUUAUUAAAAUAUGAGAAUUAACUUCAAUUUAUUAAGAUUACGUAUUGGUCCUUUAAAUUAUUAAAGGUUUACAUUUGAUAGGAUUAAUGGAUUUGGUAGUGAAAUAUUUUUAUAUAUAUAAAUUUUUGGUUUUUUAUUUUGAGCACUAUUGGGAAACAUAAGCAAAAUUGAAAUGCAUGGUCUUUCAGUGCAACCAUACAAUUUUUAUUCACUUUGUAAUAGAAUGGACAAAAAAACUAAGGUUUAUAUGUUAAACUAAUAAAAAGGUACAGGGUAAAUUAUAUACAUAUAUGUAUGAAUGUAUAUAUACUUAGAUUAAGAAAAAAAAAUGACUCACAUUCCUGUAAUAUAAAGGUCCAUUGCUAGUUGAAAAGUGAGCUCUUUUCUCUGUACAUAGUGA